rnacentral:rRNA from 1 species
CGCCCCGCAAGGGGAGCGGCAGACGGGUGAGUAACGCGUGGGAAUCUACCCAACCCUACGGAAUAACACAGGGAAACUUGUGCUAAUACCGUAUACGCCCUACGGGGAAAGAUUUAUCGGGGUUGGAUGAGCCCGCGUUGGAUUAGCUAGUUGGUGGGGUAAUGGCCUACCAAGGCGACGAUCCAUAGCUGGUCUGAGAGGAUGAUCAGCCACACUGGGACUGAGACACGGCCCAG